rnacentral:rRNA from 1 species
UGCCUAAUACAUGCAAGUGGGACGCAAGGGAACACACUGUGCUUGCACACCGUGUUUUCUUGAGUCGCGAACGGUGAGUAACGCGUAGGUAACCUGCCUAUUAGCGGGGAUAACUAUUGGAAACGAUAGCUAAUACCGCAUAAUAUUAAUUAUUGCAUGAUAAUUGAUUGAAAGAUGCAAGCGCAUCACUAGUAGAUGGACCUGCGUUGUAUUAGCUAGUUGGUAAGGUAAGAGCUUACCAAGGCGACGAUACAUAGCCGACCUGAGAGGGUGAUCGGCCACACUGGGACUGAGACACGGCCCAGACUCCUACGGGAGGCAGCAGUAGGGAAUCUUCGGCAAUGGACGAAAGUCUGACCGAGCAACGCCGCGUGAGUGAAGAAGGUUUUCGGAUCGUAAAGCUCUGUUGUAAGUCAAGAACGUGUGUGAGAGUGGAAAGUUCACACAGUGACGGUAGCUUACCAGAAAGGGACGGCUAACUAC